UGGAUAAAGAGAUAAGGAUUAAAGAACUGUACAAAAAGAAAGAAUUUACAGCAGAUGGGAGUAAGCUUUGGGCGAUUCCAUAUAUCAGAAUUGCAUUGAGAAUUACUAGAAGUGCACUGAAUUCUAUUUUGUUGAGAAUUACUUUAGAAAUUGAUUGCAAAGUGUAAUUCGUUCAUGAUUUAGAAAGUAGUAGGCGUCUGCUACAAUUCUGGUUGUUGAGCAUCUCAAUGUGUAUGUACAAGGAAUAGGUGAUUGUUGUCUGUUUACCCUCAUUUCUUACCUUUGAACUCAGCAGCGCGUUGAAGGAUGGGAGAAGAUGGUUAAAUUUCUGAUUUUGGUCCAUUUCGGCGCUACUUUUUUUAGGAACCAAGAAAAAUGUCUAAAGUUGUUUAUUCUGGUAACACAACCUUAAAUUCACGGAGUGUUCUAAGAUUAUUCUUUAACGUUUUCUCUUUGUCUUUUGUUUUCUCCCUUCUGAUUACCAUGUUGUUUUUAUAUAAGGUAAGCUUUCCAAUAUUUGAUGUUUUUUCUAUUGUAAGGUUGUUGCUUAUGCCAUUUUGGUGGUGCUAAAGAAGUAUUUGCACUUCGUGCUAAAAUUAUCAUCAUUUUACUAGAUUUUUGUGUAUAUGCUUGUGUUUUCCAGUUCAAGUUGAUGCAGCUAUGUGCUUAUACAACUCUCUCUGCCCCUUUGAUCUUUCCUUUUCAGGAUUAUGAUCCAGAAAUCCUAGGACGGCCCUUUUUAGUGAGGAUGCAAAUUAUGCAGAAAUAUGUGUAUCAUUUAAAACACAUAUAAAUACUCACAGGUUUCACGAAUUUGUUUGCAAGUAUUUUGGUUCGAAGUUGUGACCUUUGAUAAAGGCCACAAAUGGACCUUUUUGCUGAAGCAAUGGGAAUUUUAUUCUUGGAUGGGACGAACAAGUAUAUUUUAGUCAUUUACAACAAACUUCUUCAUGUAUCCCAACUCACUCUACAAUAAAGCACGUAUCGCUGUUUUAAAUGGUGUUUUAAAAGGCGUUUUCAGGGCGAGCCCUGGGGCGGGGCGUACCAAAAAUGCCCCGGGGCGAAAGUCUCCAAAGGCGUACGCCCAGCAAUUCGGGGCAUACGCCCGGGCGUUUGGGGCGAGUUUUUUUUUGUUGGGGUGUCUUGGGGCGUAAGCCCAGAAAACUUCUUCAAACUAAAACGAAAUUUGUUAAAUAAGUCCUUAAUAUAAUGCCCAAAUUCUCAAAAGCGAACAUGUAAUUACUCAAAUGUUUUAACAAGGAACUGGAGCAUUAAAUUUAAAAGUCAAGACCUUUUUUUAUUGCUAGAAUGCCUAAUAUAUAUUUUUUUCCAAUUAUUUAUCUUGUCUUCUACUAUCUAACGAGCAGUCACUUGUACUUGUAAGUAGCAUAUAAUAGAUUGUUCUAAUUAAUUUUUUUGUGGGGGUGGAGCAUAUAUAUAUAUCACUUUUUUAUAGUUUUCUUCAAUUUUUUAUGCUAUUUCACCUAUUUAAAAGUAUUUAUUAUAAUUAUAUCAUUUUAUAAAAUACUAAAAAUUAAAACCCCAUGGGGCUUACGCCUCAAUGAGGCAGACGUAAAACGCCCCGCCUUAUGCCCUCGCCUUUUAAAACACUGGUUUUAAAGAGUAGUGCUAGAGAUGACUGCUUCGCUCACUGAUUAUUGUAUUCAGUUUGUAGAAUCCAAAAUCAAGAUCCUCCCACCCAUUGAAGUUGACAUCUCUUCCUUCAUUUUCUCCUCUUUAUUUGGUAUGUAAGUUAUAAUUUUCUUACAUGCUUCAUUGGCAGCAUAAAAUCUCUCCCUGAACUUUUUCUUUAAGAAUUUUCUCCACAGGCAGCAAGUCUUGGAGGUUCUAAUAUUGAUCCCAUUGCUUGGGAAGAUAAAGAGUGCAAAGAAGAAUCAAGGUUCGUUGCUUUGGUGAGAAGCCACAUUAUACAACUCUCUAAGCCUUUCGAGGAGGAUGCUCUCAGACCAGGCAUCACUAUAAUGGUCCCAAGUUUGGUCUUGUGCUCUCCAUAUCUAAGGUAAUGUGAGAACUAAUUGUCAGAAAUUGUGUCCUGUGUACAAAUAUUUCUGUAAGGUUGAUAAUUGGUAACUCUAAAACCUUAUUUCUGAAAACUUUGGACUUGCUAGAUCUCUGAGAAAAGCUGGUAUCCAAGCAUGCUAUAGUCCUGGAUUAAUGAUCGAUCAAAGAAUCAAAGUCAUCAAACAAGCUAUGCAUGAAAGACUGCGAGAUAACAUUGUCAAUGGAGUGGAUCCAUAAAAUUUGUAUGAUCCAAAAGUGCAGAAAUAAGAGAGUGGAUGUCCAGGUGAGGCAUGUAAGGUCGACUCCAAUUGUUAAGAACCAGAUUUUGUCCAAUUGUGGCACAAUUCUUGUAUUAGGACCACCAACAUGAGCAUGAACAACUGUUUUUGUCUCUCAUUAGCAAGCUCUAGAAUGUAAAUGAAUGUAAUAGUGCGAAGCAUCCUAUGUAAUAUUUAUUAGCUUGAU